GCGCAGCAGUCGCGAAACCUUCGCAAUGCGGGAAACCGCGACGAGGGGACUCCCAGUGCCUACGCUCAGCGUAGGCUGUUCCCGAGCCUAGAAAGCUCGGGGAGUAAGGGCUGGGUAAGACGGGUGCCAGCCGCCGCGGUAAUACCCGCAGCCCGAGUGGUGGCCACUAUUAUUGGGCCUAAAGCGUCCGUAGCCGGCCCGGUAAAAUGCCUGGGUAAAUCGUGAGGCCUAACCUCACGAAUUCCGGGUAGACUGCCGGGCUAGGGACCGGAGGAGGGAGAGGGUACUCCAGGGGUAGGGGUGAAAUCCUGUAAUCCCUGGAGGACCACCGGUGGCGAAGGCGCUCUCCUAGGACGGGUCCGACGGUGAGGGACGAAAGCCAGGGGAGCGAACCGGAUUAGAUACCCCGGUAGU
rnacentral:rRNA from 1 species